UACGAAGGGGGCUAGCGUUGCUCGGAAUCACUGGGCGUAAAGCGCACGUAGGCGGCUUACUAAGUCAGGGGUGAAAUCCUGGAGCUCAACUCCAGAACUGCCUUUGAUACUGAGGAGCUUGAGUCCGGGAGAGGUGAGUGGAACUGCGAGUGUAGAGGUGAAAUUCGUAGAUAUUCGGAAGAACACCAGUGGCGAAGGCGGCUCACUGGCCCGGUACUGACGCUGAGGUGCGAAAGCGUGGGGAGCAAACAGG
rnacentral:rRNA from 1 species